GACGAACGCUGGCGGCGUGCCUAAUACAUGCAAGUCGAACGAACGGAGCUAGGAACUUGUUCCCGGCAAAGUUAGUGGCGCACGGGUGAGUAACACGUGGAGAACCUACCCUUUUGCGGGGGAUAACCAUUGGAAACGAUGACUAAUACCGCAUAGAAUCGCAGAUCGCAUGAUCAACGAAGGAAAGACGGCUUCGGCUGUCACAAAAGGAUGGCUCCGCGGUGCAUUAGCUAGAUGGUGGGGUAACGGCCUACCAUGGCAAUGAUGCAUAGCCGACCUGAGAGGGUGAUCGGCCACAUUGGGACUGAGACACGGCCCAAACUCCUACGGGAGGCAGCAGUAGGGAAUCUUCCGCAAUGGGCGCAAGCCUGACGGAGCAACGCCGCGUGUGUGAAGAAGGUCUUCGGAUCGUAAAGCACUGUUGUUAGAGAAGAACGACCGCUAGAGUAACUGUUAGCGGAGUGACGGUAUCUAACCAGAAAGCCACGGCUAACUACGUGCCAGCCGCCGCGGUAA
rnacentral:rRNA from 1 species